ACAGGCACUGAUUUCUCUCUCAGUCUUGAUGACAUCCUGCUGGCCAUAUCUGCAGCUGUUAACAAAGAGGAAGAAUGUACAAUCACUGUGUCGAGAUCCCAUGUGGUGGAGCAGGGCCUUGCUCAGUGGAAGCGACAAAAGAAGGCAUUGCCUACCAAUCAGUUAAAAGUACAGUUCAUAGGGGAGGCAGGCGUCGAUACAGGGGCAUUAAGAAAUGGUUGCAGGCAUAGAGCAGUGUCUGUUUGAGGGUGACCAGACUGGAAAAUGUCCUAAAUAUUCCAUGUUGGAUCUGGACCAAGCAAUUUCAGGAGUGCUGGUGAAAUUUGGGCUGCAUGUCUGGCUCAUGGUGGACCACCACCCAGCUGCCUCAAACUUUGGUGCUACAAGUACCUGUGUGAUGGGGAUAUGCAGAUACAGAACAUUACCAAAGAGGAUGUCUGUGAUGCUCAGUAUACAUCCCUUAU